AGACGCCGAGCUGGGCCAGAAAUAGGAGAGAAGAACCAGGCCUUCAGGCCUAAACAGGGAAGGGGGAGGACUGGGCCUUCGGGCCAAAAGAAACAGAUGGGGGAGAUCCAGUUCAAAGGGGUUCCUUUUCUUUUCGUUUUCUUUUUAUUUUAAUUCAAAACCUAUUUCAAAUCCAUCUUAAAAUCUGUUUGAAAUAUUUUUGAACUUUGGUCAAAUUCACACAAUACAAUAAAAACAAAUGCUCCAAAAUGAAUGCACAAAAAAGUUGCUAAAUCCUAUGAUAAAUUUUAUUCAAAUAAGAAAUAUUAUUUCUCUAUGUUUCAUGAGCACAAAAAUACAAAAUUAAAUUAUUUUUCACCUAUUUCAAAAUGAGUUAAAUUUAGGGUGUUACACUUACCUUCCUAGGUCUCCCACAAUAAACAAUGGACUUAGUGCUAGAUAAGUUUCCUUCGAGUAUUCUUUGUCACUAACAGUUACAAGAACGAAGGAUGAACAAUGUCUAAGAACAUGGUUGCUGCAAUACACACGAAGGAGAUGCUCCAACAUUCACACCUGGCUUUUAGUGGCGAAUGACAUAAAGGUCCAAGUGUGGGGAACCUGACCCUACCAUGCUUUCUCUCGGGCACAAUGGUUUGCACUCCAUCUUCUCACCCAUGCCUUACACCUAUAAGUUUGGUUAUGUUUAAAAAUGCCAUACAUGAUAAUCAAAUUCAAAAUUUGAAACAAUUGCACCAAACCACAUCAUAACUAGUGGAGGAGCCUACACACAACUUGUUCUGAUCUCGUCUGUUCUUUUCUUUGCUCCUGGUUCUACACCCUUUUUUUGAACAUGCAAAUUAAAAAGAACCAGGUUUCACACUUAGAGUUACAAUUAUGAAAGUGAAUAUAUGAACUUUGAGUUUGGCCUGCAUAAUCUUUAUUCCUUACAUGUACUUAGUGCUUGUGGGAAAAAUACCAUACAGGAAAAACAUAUUGACUAAGUUGUUAUGAAGUGAGAUAUGGCUUUGACAUGGAAAUCCAACCUUUUCUACUCAAAGUACUUGGAGAAUUUUCUUUUUUUGAUAAAAAUGUAAAAUCCAUAGUUUCACACAUACUCCUCAAUGGUAAGAAAAAUUCCUAGCAUGGCCAGAUACCAUGAUGAAAACCCUAUGCAUAUGCUACUUGUUUUUGUGUUGAGCUUUGUCAAACUUUGUUGACCCAUGUUGAGAAAGCUAUCAUGUUUUAAAAUCAAUAUCAUGCACACACCAUCAAAUAUAUGCACUACUACACUAGGACUAGGCUCAAAAACAUGCAUUUCACUUAGAUCCAUCAAAAAAUGUUCUACUCCUACACUAGGAGCGAACAAAAAAAAAAUAUGUAUGUUAGGUUCCAUCAAAAUAAAUGCUCCAAGUCCUUGUUGAUAUCUCUCUCAAGUUUUGUUGUAAAAAGAGGCAUGAGGCUAUCAUCAAAAAGAAAGAAAUAAAAAGAAAGAAAAAUAAAAAGAGAUGAUAAGAAAGAAAAGAAGAAAAAAAGAGAUGUGAAUAAAGAUAGUCCAUUCUCUCACAAAUAUAAUCCAAGUCCCAAUAAAGAGAGAGAUGAAUGUGUCUUAAAAAGAGCAUAGUAGAGUUAGGUUAGCCAAUAUAUAUAUAUAUAUCUACCAUAUAACCAAACACAUGCUUUGAUUUGAUUGUAUGACAUCUUUCUCCUCAGAUCCAUUAUUUGACAUAGCAAAAAUAUGCAUUGCAAGUAUGCUUUCAUUCUUUUCCCGUACCUAAGCUCCGCAUAAACUUUUUAAAAGUAGGAAGAAAAAGAAGGCAAUGCUAUGAUAUGCCUUCAUAAGGAAACAUAUACCAAUGAGUUAUUUGAGAGUACCAUUUGAGUAUAUGUGAACUAUGCUUAUUUGAAAAAGUUUACAAAACCUCCAAGUUACUAAGAUAGGAAAAUGGGAUGAGAUGACUUUGUUUCAAGAAGAUAUGUUAGUCGCUCCACAUGUACCACAGGUAUGAGCCAAUGUUUUGGAAUAAUCAUUAUGCUAGUUCCAUAUCUUGAAAAGUUCUGUUUAUGUUUACUUUAUCUUGAACUUUGCUUAGGACGAGCAAAUGACUAAGUGUGGGGGUAGCUUGUUGAUACCUUUGAACUCCUACCUUUAGUCAUCAACUUUCAAAGAAUAUCCACUAAAACAAAUACCAAACUUACUAAGUUACUAUUAGGAUUUAUAACUAACAAAUUCUACGAGUUUUAGUGAUUUGUCAUUUGCAGGAGGACAUUUGUGAAAACUAUAAAAACAUGCUCGAUAUACACAAAGGAACAAAGCGUAAAACCAUCCUGCACGAGCACAAGGGGAGAAGAGCCACAAACCGAAGCUUAUCUGUCCAAAUUGGGCUCAAACACAUGUAGGCACAACCUAGUCCUAGCAUGCAACUGCCAUGCGGAAGGUAGUCGCAGGGAGGUGCCACCAGGGUGUGGGCGCACCCAGGGUGUGUUCACACCCCAAUAAUGUAUCGUAGCAUGUGGUUGCUCAGUGGUGCUUAUCUCCUAUCAUUCAAAAACACUACUAGGAAUUGACCCUUAUAGCACCAUUUUUUUUUUGCAAUACCACACAUUUGGUUGCAAUAUUUGGUUUUAUAGCAAUCAACGUAUUAAUGGG
rnacentral:lncRNA from 1 species